UAUAACCCUAACAACAUAUCCAUCUAAUAUAAAUCAACCUGCAUUUUUAUUUUAUUUUUUAUUUUUGCCCAAACCCAAUGAUUUCUUUUUAUUUCUAAGUCUUAAUUAAUCUUGUUAUCACACUAUUGUUCAGCGUCGAGAGUCCUCUGGGACAUGAUACUUAGUCUUACCAUUUUAUAUUACUUGUGCGACUCGGUACACUUGCUGAUUCAACCCAACAAGUUUUUGGCACCGUUGUCGGGGACUCACGGUUUAAGCUAUUCUAUUUGUGCGAUUCUUGAUUAAUUUUGA
rnacentral:lncRNA from 1 species